rnacentral:rRNA from 1 species
GUAAUCGCGGAUCAGCAUGCCGCGGUGAAUACGUUCUCGGGCCUUGUACACACCGCCCGUCACACCAUGGGAGUCGGUAACACCCGAAGUCUGUAGCCUGACGCAAGAGGGCGCAGCCGAAGGUGGGAUUGAUGACUGGGGUGAAGUCGUAACAAGGUACC